AUCCCAAACCGCUGUCCUCGUGAAGAACAUGGCUGGCCGCAGAACCGUUCAAACGGACCUCCCGAACGUGUAUCCGUUUCUCCUCCAUGCGACACCUCACCACUUUGACAAUGUCCCGUGGUUUCAUUUCCAGGGUGGGAAAGUUCCAGCGGCCAUGGAUGGGAAUGGACUCGGUCAGGAUAGCGUCCAGCCGCUGCACUUGCUCCCAGUUGAGCACGCUGAGGUUGCUGCUUUCCCCAUCUUGGCAGCUGUCCACCGGACUUGAAUCGCCUGUAUCGCCCAUCUUAAGAGAACAAAAGACUGCAGAAAACUUCCAGAAGGUCCCUUUAAUGCUGUAUGUGAGGGCAAGAAGUUGACCUGACCACAGCGAUGCCCUCCCCUCCCUCCUGCUUCACUCCCCUUAUCAGAGCAUGUACGACUUCAGCCUCGAGACAUGGUCAAUAAGCAGACCAGAUCAGCCCUAGUCACGUGAUAAACUCACUGGAGGAUGUGCAUGUGAUGUUUUGUUUUGUAUGGUAUCUUAUGCAUUCUGUAUUCUCGUCUUGUAUCGACGUGGCAUGACCCUGUUGUUUCCACAGUGGUUGCUAUUGCUAUUGAACAUCAGAGUGUUCAAAUCAUGAGUGUUCAAGUCAUCAGAGAGUUUUCUGUUGACUUGAGCUGAGUAUAACUCUGUUUUCCUUCCCAAGAUUGAUUGACGAUCAAUGAUGACCACAAUGAUGCAAAGGUUAAAAUGUGUGCCUUUGUCACAAAUGCCAAUGUUCCAUGUGUGUGUGUGUGUGUGUGUGUGUGUGUGUGUGUGUGUGUGUGUGUGUGUGUGUGUGUGUGCAUUAGGGCAUGUUAUUUUUACGUCACUGAAGGCAAAUGUGGAAUAUCAAUCUCUGAAAUUACUGAAAUAAAAACUGUAUUAAU